rnacentral:rRNA from 1 species
UACAGAGGUGGCAAGCGUUGUUCGGAAUUACUGGGCGUAAAGGGCGCGUAGGCGGCCUCGCAAGUCCCGUGUGAAAUCCCUCGGCUCAACUGAGGAAUGGCACGGGAAACUGCGGGGCUUGAGUUCGGGAGAGGGAAGCGGAAUUCCGGGUGUAGCGGUGAAAUGCGUAGAUAUCAGGAGGAACACCGAUGGCGAAGGCAGCUCACUGGGACGGUACUGACGCUGAGACGCGAAAGCGUGGGGAGCAAACAGG